rnacentral:lncRNA from 1 species
GCCCGGCGCCAGCCCACAAAUCAUCCGGCUCGUGAUUUGCCUUCAUGGGUGAACCCGAAUUCCCACUUCUGAACCCGAAAGAUGCGGACUUUCUAAGCUUGUUAGCAUCCUCACUAUUGAAACCCCAAUCCAGUUUCCCAUCAGGCGAACCCCAUUCGGAAUAAGUGGAAGAUUGACUCAUUGACCGGAGACUUGGGUUGGUCCCCACGCCACGGUCAAUGAAACUCUGGCUACGUUGUUUUGCGAACGAACCAGACCUCGAGUUCAUCACCGCUUGUGCUACUGCAGCCGAUGAAUCAAACCCGAAACUUGAUCUAAGCGGGUUAGAGUUCUGCCUAAUUUGUUGCCGAGAAGGCGAACCGUAAACAUCAUCUAGAUUAGUGGGCUUCAUUUCCCCAAAUCUGUUGUUGUAAAGAUUAGUGGAUAAAUUAUCAAUCAUUUGCUGCCUUUGUAGCAACUCAAGUUCCAUCUCUAAAUCUCUAGCGUUUAAAGACGUCUUCAAACGGCUACCCGGAAGCUGUAACGCGGGUGGCGUUACAUUAACAAAUUUGUUCUGCCACAUAUUCCCGUUAGGUGACAUCGGCGGAGUUGAACCGACACCUAACGGACUCAUCGAACCCAUUUCAAUCGGCCCAACAGAGCCCGCUUUCGGCGAUGGAACAGCUGACCCGGUAGACGCAUACAAAGGUCUUAAUUCAUCAACCUUGUGCGCGAAAAAACACACUUUUCGCGCACACCCAGUUUCAUCUUUACAUAAACGUGUCCUGUAUUGCGCAGGGUGAAGCCAAGACUCAAACACCCCGUGCGCAAAUUCACAUAAAUCUCCUUUCACGCAGCUUCCUUUACGAAACUCCGGACACGGGACACACGUAUACUGGUGCUUCCUCGGAUCACGCCGCCUCGCGUUCUCGCCCGGAUGAACAAACGGGCACUCCGUCCAGUCAUGAGAAUAAGCCCGAGAACACGGUUUCACCUUAAACAUAUACAUCCGAAACUCAUCGGUACCGUAAACACCCUCGUUAAUAUCCGGUAACGAUACGUCAACCGGAUAUUCCUUUUUCGCCGUAACAACUUCCGCUUCUUCAAUUUCGGCUUCGUUUAUCAACAAACCUUUCAAAAGCAUCUCCAACGCCUUCCGCUUCGCCGAUUUCACGCCUCGAGCAAUCAAAUCCACCGGUUUGUUCCCGUUGGCGUCUGUUAAAUUCUGAUCCGCACCAGCCUCGAGUAACAACUUCACGGUUUCGACCGACGAAGAAGACCCGCCAGCCGCAACACAGUGGAGUGCAGUUGCGCCAUCAGAGUCCGACACUUUGUUCACGUCGGCUUUUCCCGAACCGAUUAUAUAUUUCACGACGUUUGUGCUUCCGUACACGGAAGCAAUCAUUAACGGAGUUCGUUUUUCCAACCCCAUCUUCGUUUUACACCCGUUUUUUCUUCCGUACCAUAAACCGACAUCGUCUAACCUCGUACCGUUGGUUUCUACCUCGUACUGGAGCCGAAAAACAUCAUCUGUAGCUGCUAAUUCUAGUAAGCUCGAGGAAUUUAAGAAAGCCCCGAUUUGUUUUUCUUGAAACUUUAUUUCUCCCUCCAUGAUACCAAAUUUACUUUUCGAAACUUUACACAUCAAACCUGCAAAUAACAAACAACAACGGUACGAUUAUUAAUUUAUUAUUAUUGUUAUUAUUUGGGAUAACAAGAACAGACAGAAAUGAGUUGUGUGUAUGGAAACAAUAACAUAUGAAUGAGUGAAAGAUUCUGCUGUACAUACCUGAUUGGAUUGAGGAAGAACAGAAGCUAGGUUGGUUGUUAAGGUUAUAGCUGUAAAGAGUGUGAUUGUGAUGAUGAAGCUGUCUGAUGAGAUGAAACCUAUGUUAUGUAUGAAGAUUUUGAGAAUGAAUUGGGGUGAACGAUGGUUAUAUAUUGUUUGGAUUUGAAUAAUUGAAAUAUAGGAUACACACACGCGGGAUGGGAGUGGGGGAAGGGGGGAGGAAGGUGUGACUUUACUUCGUUAUGUGUUUCUGUUUGUCGUGUUGCAGGGCCAAGUCAAAGUAUUCAAUAAUGGUGGAAUUGUGGAGUGCUCACUUCAAAGAAAUGAAAUGAAAUGAAAUGAAAUGUAAAUUCAGAUUGGAAUGUAGUUUUUGGUUUGUUUAUAGUGAGUUGAGUGAGGAAAGUAUCAAGUAGAGAUAUGGAGUGAUAUCAAUAAUUCAAUAUAUUAUGUUGAAGUUAUUUUCGUUUUGUUAUCUUUCUUAG